rnacentral:rRNA from 1 species
UACGUAGGGUGCGAGCGUUGUCCGGAAUUAUUGGGCGUAAAGGGCUCGUAGGCGGUCUGUCACGUCGGGAGUGAAAACACGGGGCUUAACCCCGUGCCUGCUUCCGAUACGGGCAGACUAGAGGUAUGCAGGGGAGAACGGAAUUCCUGGUGUAGCGGUGAAAUGCGCAGAUAUCAGGAGGAACACCGGCGGCGAAGGCGGUUCUCUGGGCAUUACCUGACGCUGAGGAGCGAAAGUGUGGGGAGCGAACAGG